GUGUGUGUGUGUGUGUGUGUGUGUGUGUGUGUGUGUGUGUGUGUGUGUGUGUGUGUGUGUGUGUGUGUGUGUGUGUGUGUGUGUGUGUGCGACCAGUGAACAGUAGCGGAUCAUAAAGGAAGAAAACAAAUUUCUCUCAAAAAACAAGGCCGUGGGGUUAUUGUGGAGCAGAGAGACGCUGGGGUAAAAUGACACUAUUAGUACACAGUUCCCUGAAAGUAUUGAUGUAGGUGGACAAGUUGGUGAAGAAGGUGUUUGGCACUCUUGCCCACAUCAGCUGGGCUAUUGGUUCAAAGAAUUGGGAUUCAUGUUACAGUUGUAUAAGAUGUUGCUGAGAAUGCACCAGGAAAUUGUGUGCUAUUCUGGUUGUCCAGCUGUAGGAAGGAUGUGAUGGAGGGUUCAGUAAAGAUUCACAAGGACUGCAUGUAUCAGAACUGGCUGUGUGUUACUGUAUAAGAAGGGACUUGAAAUGUUGGGUCUGUUUCCGUUGAACUGAAGUUGGUUUCAGGGUGAGUAUUUAGAGGUGUAUAAAACCACGUGAGGCAUAGGUAGGGUAGAAGGGUUCAGUGCAGAGGAGUGUAAAACCAGAGGGCAUAGGUUUAAGGUAAUUGUAAUUAUAAUUGUAAAUCUUUAUUGUCAUUUCCUGAGUAUUCGCAUACUCAGAGGAAACAAAAAAACGUUUCUCAACCAGUGUCCGUUCAGUUUUCGUUACAAAAUAAAUAGCAAUUAAAAUUAAAAUACAGUCAUGAACAAUUUAACCCUCUAAUCACAUUCAAUAACAUUCAACAGCCGUUCCGACCGGCAGCGGCACAACAGUGGCUCUGCUGCAGUGUGGGGGGUUUGUGCGCGAUACUUGGCAGGGGCGAAACUUCAUUUAACAGUCUUAUAGCCUGUGGGAAGAAGCUGAGAAGCUGAGGCGACAGAUAGCACAAUGGGCUAAGAGUUCGGCUGGCGACCGGAAGGUAGCCGGUUCAAAUCCUGCUUGGAGUGCAUACUGUCGUUGUGUCCUUGGGCAAGACACUUCACCCAUCUUUGCCUGUAAUGGAAUGUACGGCGGCAGGCGCGGGCACACCGCGACGCCCUGUGUCUCCCUUUCAAGGGAGAUGCUAAAAAUGCAUUUCGUUGUCUCUGUACUGUACACUGACAAUGACAAUAAAUUGAAUCAUUUCAUUUUUUUCAUUUCAUCCUGCUGGUUUUGCAGCUGAUGCUCCUGUACCUCUUCCCAGAUGGGAGGAUGGUGAAAAAGUCAUGUGAUGGGUGGUAAGGGUCUUUGAUGAUGGAGAUGGCUCUGUUGAUGCAUCUCUUCUUGUAUAUGUCCAGCAGGAAGGGUAGUGGAGCACCAAUAAUCCUGCUUGCGGUCCUCACAGGUGCAAGAGGAACAAGAUACAGGGGACAGCAAGUUUUGCCAAUGAAGAUGCCAGAGGAAGGAACACAGACAGGAGCAACCGGUUCCUUGGAAACAGAGGAGACUAGUAGUUUAAUACAAGGAAACUGUGACCCCGGCUGGAAUUAUUUUGAAAGAACCUGUCACCGUUAUUACAGUGAGAAAAGGACCUGGAAAAGUUCUCUGGACGCUUGCAGAGAACUAGCACAUGCACAAUAUCUGGUUACUGUGACCUCGGCCAAACACAGCAAAUUUAUUAUGCAAGUGAUUGGUAAAGUGGAAGGUGCGUGCAGAGCUAAACCGCAUGCUUGGAUUGGCCUCAAAAUACAGGUACAGUUAAUGAUGACACGUUAGCUUACAGGUCGUCAAACAUUGGCCAGACCUGCAUUUGUUGUCCUUCCCUGACCAUCCACUGCCCUUUUCAAAGGGCAGGUUACAGUCAACACAUUGAUGGAUCUCUGGUGUCACAUCGUUGUUCAGGGAUAGAAUUACACAUUAUGCCCUGCAGAGUAACAGGGCACGGCAGUGUAAUGGUUAAGUUACUCUGUGAUAUCCUCGUGAUUCAGGCACACGAGUUUGAAUCCCAUCCCAGACACCGGGGAAUUUGGAUCCAAGUAAAUAAACUGCAAUCACUCUGAAGUAACAAGUUACCAUCAGUAAUGGGGACUGAAACUACUGGACUGUUAUAAAAACUCAUCUGAUUCACUGUUGUCCUUCAGGGUAAAA